rnacentral:rRNA from 1 species
UACGGAGGGUGCGAGCGUUAAUCGGAAUCACUGGGCGUAAAGCGCGCGUAGGCGGCUUUUCAAGUCAGGGGUGAAAUCCCACGGCCCAACCGUGGAACUGCCUUUGAAACUGUAGAGCUUGAGUGUCGGAGAGGGUGGCGGAAUUCCAGGUGUAGGAGUGAAAUCCGUAGAUAUCUGGAGGAACACCGGUGGCGAAGGCGGAUGACUGGACGGCAACUGACGGUGAGACGCGAAAGCGUGGGGAGCAAACAGG